rnacentral:lncRNA from 1 species
UAAAACAUACAUUCCAAAUAAACAAAAAAAAACAAAAAAUUGAAAUGUAAAUCGAAGAAACUCAGAGUAAAGAUAAACAAAUUGAAUCGUUAUCGAAAAAUGCGUAUGUUUAUGGAGGUUGUUGAGAAGGUGGUGUUGCUUGUGUGAGGGCGGCUAUGGUCACAUGAAGGUGUUGUUGUGUCACGGAAGAUGAGGUAAUGUAUAUUUCAUGGUGGUUAGGGGUGUCUUUCGGUGGUUGUCAUUCAAGGUUGAAAGUGAUUGGAUCUAUAUGUUGGAAGUAGGUGAUGCAACUGGUUUUGUAAUUCAUGGAAGUUUAAGGUGGUUAUUCAUGGGUGGAAAACUUGAAGGUUGUUUAGUAUGGUGAGUUUAAGUAGGUUUAGAUUGUUGUUUCGGAUGGUUUGCUUGAUGGUGAGAGGAAGAAGGUUGUGCGGUUUGUUGUGGGGAAGUGAAGGAGUUGAAGCAUGAGUAGAGGGAUGAGCAGCCGUGAGGGUUUUCACUAGAGGGAGGUGUUUGUUGUGAGUUGUUGAAAGAG